GACGAACGCUGGCGGCGUGCUUAACACAUGCAAGUCGAACGGAAAGGCCCUGCUUUUGUGGGGUUCUCGAGUGGCGAACGGGUGAGUAACACGUGUGUAACCUGCCCUUGUCUUUGUGAUAUCUUCAGGAAACUGUGGCUAAUACCGUAUAGGAUCUCCUGCUGCAUGGUGGUUGUUGGUAAGUUUCGGCGGUUGGGGAUGGACUCGCGGCUUAUCAGCUUGUUUGUGGGGUAGUUGCUUACCAAGGCUUUGACGGGUAGCCGGCCUGUGAGGGUGACCGGGGACAUGGGGACUGAGAGAGGGAGCAGAAUCGAACGGGAGGCAGCAGGGGGGAAUAUGGCACAAUGGGGGGAAGCGAGAUGCAGAAAAGCCGCGUGCGGGAUGAAGGCCUUCGGGUGGUAAACAGAUUUCGAAUGUGACGAAGAGUGAGUGACGGUAAUGGGUAAAGAAGCACCGGCUAACUACGUG
rnacentral:rRNA from 1 species